rnacentral:rRNA from 1 species
CUUGGUCAUUUAGAGGAAGUAAAAGUCGUAACAAGGUUUCCGUAGGUGAACCUGCGGAAGGAUCAUUACAAACGUAUCCACGUAUAAACCAAACAGUUGAAUUUGUUUCUUAUGAUAUUCGUCCGUUAGGCUGGGCUUGUAGUUGCUUUUUGGGAUGUAACGAGAUGCAUCUUGAAAGUGAUUCGGUAGUCUUUCAUUAGACCGCUACCCUACCUAGUUCGCGAAUCAAAACAUUUUUCAUUCUCACCAUUUUAACCCAUUUCACCCAAUUUCUUUUAAUUGAACUUAAACUGAUUCGAGAGGGAGACUUCUCUGAAUUAAAAAAAUACGAAAUUAAGAACAACUCUUAACAACGGAUAUCUUGGCUCUCGUAACGAUGAAGAACGCAGCGAAAUGCGAUACGUAAUGCGAAUUGCAGAAUUCAGUGAAUCAUCAAAUCUUCGAACGCAAAUUGCGCUUUCGGGAUAGUCCUGAAAGCACGCCUCUUUGAGUAUCGAUUCAACCAACGCUCUACGGCGUGCUUAGCUUUGUCUAAGUGUGUGCAGUAGGAGUUGAACUGAGUUUCAUAGCAGUUAAAUGCUAUGUGACUUUAAGCAACGACAGACGUUCCUAGAUGCGUGAAAGCAUGUAAGUUGAACCUGUCGGCCAAAAGCAAUGCGGUUAAUUUGUCCUUCGGGGUGAAUACGACAUGCAUUUGUUUGAAGCUGACGUUCCCUUUGCGGGGAAAGGGUACGAUUGAAGCUUUCUGUUAACUAGGAGCUACUUCCGAGCCUUAGUGGCAAGGAAAUCACCUUCGAUUUAGAUCUCAAAUGAAGCGAGAAAACCCGCCGAACUUAAGCAUAUCAUUAAGCGGAGGAAAAGAAACUAACAAGGAUGCCGUUAGUAACGGCGAGUGAAGCGGGCAAAGCUCAACUUGAAAAUCGGGGCCCCUUUGGGGUUUCGAAUUGUAGUCUAGAGACGCGCCAUCAGCAAGUGACCCUGGUAUAAAUCUUUUGAAACAAGGUAUCAUAGAGGGUGAGAAUCCCGUCUUUGACUAGGAGUUCACUGCGUACGAUGCGUGUUCGUAGAGUCGGGUUGCUUGGGAUUGCAGCUCAAAAUGGGUGGUAAAUUUCAUCUAAAGCUAAAUAUCGACGAGAGACCGAUAGCAAACAAGUACCGUGAGGGAAAGAUGAAAAGAACUUUGAAAAGAGAGUUAAAAAGUACUUGAAAUUGUUAAGAGGGAAGCACUGGAAACCAGUCGUGCUCUGUGCCAUAUUUAUCGUCGCCUGGCAAAGGGAGUUUGUUCGGCGAUCGCAAGACGCCGUGUGGGCUUCGGAUGUUGGGUGGCGAGUUCUGUGGUAUGGGGUGAGUCAGAAUGAGUUCGCUGCGCGGGAGAAAGCUAGCUUGGACGAUAGGACGGAGGGGGCAACUCCAAAGUCUGAAGCCGGUUAGUGCUACCGUGUGGUGGAUUGAGGACUGGAAAUACGCACCACUAGGCUUCGGUUCCUGGUCCCUGGCGUGUACGUCUGCUUUGGACAACAAAGUUGUGCGGGUGGGCGUGCGUGUCACUGGGCUGGGCCAACCAGAUGCAGUAUUCGAGAUUCUGACGAAAUGGUUUUCAUUGACCCGUCUUGAAACACGGACC